rnacentral:rRNA from 1 species
GGUUAAGCGACUAAGCGUACACGGUGGAUGCCCUGGCAGUCAGAGGCGAUGAAGGACGUGCUAAUCUGCGAUAAGCGUCGGUAAGGUGAUAUGAACCGUUAUAACCGGCGAUUUCCGAAUGGGGAAACCCAGUGUGAUUCGUCACACUAUCAUUAACUGAAUCCAUAGGUUAAUGAGGCGAACCGGGGGAACUGAAACAUCUAAGUACCCCGAGGAAAAGAAAUCAACCGAGAUUCCCCCAGUAGCGGCGAGCGAACGGGGAGCAGCCCAGAGCCUGAAUCAGUGUGUGUGUUAGUGGAAGCGUCUGGAAAGGCGCGCGAUACAGGGUGACAGCCCCGUACACAAAAAUGCACAUGCUGUGAGCUCGAUGAGUAGGGCGGGACACGUGGUAUCCUGUCUGAAUAUGGGGGGACCAUCCUCCAAGGCUAAAUACUCCUGACUGACCGAUAGUGAACCAGUACCGUGAGGGAAAGGCGAAAAGAACCCCGGCGAGGGGAGUGAAAAAGAACCUGAAACCGUGUACGUACAAGCAGUGGGAGCACAGAGCAAUCUGUGUGACUGCGUACCUUUUGUAUAAUGGGUCAGCGACUUAUAUUCUGUAGCAAGGUUAACCGAAUAGGGGAGCCGAAGGGAAACCGAGUCUUAACUGGGCGUUAAGUUGCAGGGUAUAGACCCGAAACCCGGUGAUCUAGCCAUGGGCAGGUUGAAGGUUGGGUAACACUAACUGGAGGACCGAACCGACUAAUGUUGAAAAAUUAGCGGAUGACUUGUGGCUGGGGGUGAAAGGCCAAUCAAACCGGGAGAUAGCUGGUUCUCCCCGAAAGCUAUUUAGGUAGCGCCUCGUGAAUUCAUCUCCGGGGGUAGAGCACUGUUUCGGCAAGGGGGUCAUCCCGACUUACCAACCCGAUGCAAACUGCGAAUACCGGAGAAUGUUAUCACGGGAGACACACGGCGGGUGCUAACGUCCGUCGUGAAGAGGGAAACAACCCAGACCGCCAGCUAAGGUCCCAAAGUCAUGGUUAAGUGGGAAACGAUGUGGGAAGGCCCAGACAGCCAGGAUGUUGGCUUAGAAGCAGCCAUCAUUUAAAGAAAGCGUAAUAGCUCACUGGUCGAGUCGGCCUGCGCGGAAGAUGUAACGGGGCUAAACCAUGCACCGAAGCUGCGGCAGCGACGCUUAUGCGUUGUUGGGUAGGGGAGCGUUCUGUAAGCCUGUGAAGGUGUACUGUGAGGUAUGCUGGAGGUAUCAGAAGUGCGAAUGCUGACAUAAGUAACGAUAAAGCGGGUGAAAAGCCCGCUCGCCGGAAGACCAAGGGUUCCUGUCCAACGUUAAUCGGGGCAGGGUGAGUCGACCCCUAAGGCGAGGCCGAAAGGCGUAGUCGAUGGGAAACAGGUUAAUAUUCCUGUACUUGGUGUUACUGCGAAGGGGGGACGGAGAAGGCUAUGUUGGCCGGGCGACGGUUGUCCCGGUUUAAGCGUGUAGGCUGGUUUUCCAGGCAAAUCCGGAAAAUCAAGGCUGAGGCGUGAUGACGAGGCACUACGGUGCUGAAGCAACAAAUGCCCUGCUUCCAGGAAAAGCCUCUAAGCAUCAGGUAACAUCAAAUCGUACCCCAAACCGACACAGGUGGUCAGGUAGAGAAUACCAAGGCGCUUGAGAGAACUCGGGUGAAGGAACUAGGCAAAAUGGUGCCGUAACUUCGGGAGAAGGCACGCUGAUAUGUAGGUGAAGUCCCUCGCGGAUGGAGCUGAAAUCAGUCGAAGAUACCAGCUGGCUGCAACUGUUUAUUAAAAACACAGCACUGUGCAAACACGAAAGUGGACGUAUACGGUGUGACGCCUGCCCGGUGCCGGAAGGUUAAUUGAUGGGGUUAGCGCAAGCGAAGCUCUUGAUCGAAGCCCCGGUAAACGGCGGCCGUAACUAUAACGGUCCUAAGGUAGCGAAAUUCCUUGUCGGGUAAGUUCCGACCUGCACGAAUGGCGUAAUGAUGGCCAGGCUGUCUCCACCCGAGACUCAGUGAAAUUGAACUCGCUGUGAAGAUGCAGUGUACCCGCGGCAAGACGGAAAGACCCCGUGAACCUUUACUAUAGCUUGACACUGAACAUUGAGCCUUGAUGUGUAGGAUAGGUGGGAGGCUUUGAAGUGUGGACGCCAGUCUGCAUGGAGCCGGCCUUGAAAUACCACCCUUUAAUGUUUGAUGUUCUAACGUGGACCCGUAAUCCGGGUUGCGGACAGUGUCUGGUGGGUAGUUUGACUGGGGCGGUCUCCUCCUAAAGAGUAACGGAGGAGCACGAAGGUUGGCUAAUCCUGGUCGGACAUCAGGAGGUUAGUGCAAUGGCAUAAGCCAGCUUGACUGCGAGCGUGACGGCGCGAGCAGGUGCGAAAGCAGGUCAUAGUGAUCCGGUGGUUCUGAAUGGAAGGGCCAUCGCUCAACGGAUAAAAGGUACUCCGGGGAUAACAGGCUGAUACCGCCCAAGAGUUCAUAUCGACGGCGGUGUUUGGCACCUCGAUGUCGGCUCAUCACAUCCUGGGGCUGAAGUAGGUCCCAAGGGUAUGGCUGUUCGCCAUUUAAAGUGGUACGCGAGCUGGGUUUAGAACGUCGUGAGACAGUUCGGUCCCUAUCUGCCGUGGGCGCUGGAGAACUGAGGGGGGCUGCUCCUAGUACGAGAGGACCGGAGUGGACGCAUCACUGGUGUUCGGGUUGUCAUGCCAAUGGCACUGCCCGGUAGCUAAAUGCGGAAGAGAUAAGUGCUGAAAGCAUCUAAGCACGAAACUUGCCCCGAGAUGAGUUCUCCCUGACUCCUUGAGAGUCCUGAAGGAACGUUGAAGACGACGACGUUGAUAGGCCGGGUGUGUAAGCGCAGCGAUGCGUUGAGCUAACCGGUACUAAUGAACCGUGAGGCUUAACCUU